AUUGAACGCUGGCGGAAUGCUUUACACAUGCAAGUCGAACGGCAGCACGGACUUCGGUCUGGUGGCGAGUGGCGAACGGGUGAGUAAUGUAUCGGAACGUGCCCAGUCGUGGGGGAUAACGUAGUGAAAAUUACGCUAAUACCGCAUACGAUCUAGGGAUGAAAGCGGGGGAUCGCAAGACCUCGCGCGAUUGGAGCGGCCGAUAUCAGAUUAGGUAGUUGGUGGGGUAAAGGCCCACCAAGCCAAGGAUUGGUAGCUGGUCUGAGAGGACGACCAGCAACACUGGAACGGAGACACGUUCCAAACUCCUACGGGAGGAAGCAGUGGGGAAUUUUGGACAAGGGGCGAAAGCCGAUCCAGCCAUUCCGCGUGCAGGAUGAAGGCCCUCGGGUUGUAAACUGCUUUUGUACAGAACGAAAAGGUUUCUACUAAUACUAGGAGCUCAUGACGGUACUGUAAGAAUAAGCACCGGCUAACUACGUGCCAGCAGCCGCGGUAA
rnacentral:rRNA from 1 species